UUUAUCAAAGAUAUCAUAGUUUAUGUUAUUUAAAUUGCGAAUUAAAAAAGUAAUUUUUUUUGGGGAAAUUACAUGUUUACAACUUUCAUGGUACCACUUUUCAUUUUUACAACCACUAAUGAGACAUUUUCAAAAAUACCUUCUUUAUUAAGUGGCAAAAGACUAUUAUGCCCUUGUUAUUUAUAUAUAUAAUAAAUUAUUAUUUAAAUAAAAAUAAUAAAAAAAUUAAAAAAAUUAAAAAAAAAUAAAAAAAAUAAAAAAAAAAAAAAAUAAAAUAAAUAACAAAAAAUAAUAAUAAAAAUAAUAAUAAAAAUUAAAAAAAUUAAAAAAAAGUAAAAAAAAAAAAGAGAAAAAUGUAUUUUUUUAUGUUUUCGAAUUACACUUUUUCAAAUUUGAACUUUUUUAUAAUAAAAAAAAAAUUUGAAUUUUUCUUUCGAAUUUUUUUUUAAUUGUUUUUCAAAUUUCUUUUUGAAAAACGAAAGUUAUGUUUGAAACUAUUUUUAAAAAUUUUUUAUAUAUUUUUUAAGUAUUUAUAUAUUUAUUAGAAUCAUAAAUUUCACUUUCCAAAAACCGUACCCCACCCCUCAACUCGAAACCCUAAGUCUAGAUUAGUUAAUCCUAAGGGUAUAAUUGUAUUUUACCCUUCAUUAAAAGUGAAGGUAAAAGUGGUUAGUGUAAACAUGAAAAGUGGUACUAUGAAUGUGGUAUUUGUGGCAAUUUCCUUUUUUUUUUUAUGUUUUCGAAUUAAACUUUUUCAAAUUUGAACUUUUUAUAAAUUUUUUUUUUUUGAAAUUUUCUUUUCGAAUUUUUUUUUUCAAAUUUCUUUUUGAAAAACGAAAAUUAUGUUUGAAACUAUUUUUAAAAAUGUUUUUUAUAUAUUUUUAAGUAUUUAUUUAUAUAUUUAUUAGAAUCCUAAAUUUCACAUUCCAAAAACCCUACCCCACCCUUCAACUUUAAACCCUAAGUCUAGAUUAGUUAACCCUAAUGGUAUAUUUGUCUUUUACCUUUCAUUAAAAGUGAAGGUAAAAGUGGUUAGUGUAAACAUAAAAAUUGGUACUAUGAAUAUGCUAUUUGUGGCAAUUUGCCUUUUGGAAGGAGAAAUUUUAUGUUUACCACUUUCAUAUUACCACUUUUCAUUUUUACCACCACUAAAUAAACAUUUUCAAAAAUGUCUUCUUCAUUAAAUGACAAAAGACUCUUAUAUCUUUGUUCUCUAUAUAAAUAAUAAAUUAUUAUUUAAAUAAAUUAAAAAUAAAAUAAAAAUAAUAAAAUAAAUUUUUAUUUUUUUUAUUUUUUGAAUUAUACUUUUUCACAUUCGAAGUUUUUAAAUAUAUUUUUUUUAAUCUUUUUCGAUUUUUUUUUCAAAUUUUCUUUUUGAAAAUCAAAAAUUAUGUUUGAAACUAUUUUAAUAUUUUUUUUUAUAUUUUUAAGUAUUUAUUUAUAUAUUUAUUAGAAUCUUAAAUUUCAUAUUUUUUAUAUUUAUUUAUAUUUUUUAUAAAUCUCAUUAAAAGUGAGGGUAAAAGUGGUUAGUGUAAACAUGAAAAGAGGUACUAUGAAUGUGCUAUAAAUAAAUAUAAUAAAAAUAUAAAUAAAUAUAAAAAAUAUGAAAUUUAAGAUUCUAAUAAAUAUAUAAAUAAAUACUUAAAAAUAUAAAAAAAUAUUAAAAUAGUUUCAAACAUAAUUUUUGAUUUUCAAAAAGAAAAUUUGAAAAAAAAAAUAAAAAAAAGAUUAAAAAAAUAUAUUAAAAAACUUCGAAUGUGAAAAAGUAUAAUUCAAAAAAUAAAAAAUAUUAAUUUAUUUUAUUAUUUUUAUUUUAUUUUUAAUUUAUUUAAAUAAUAAUUUAUUAUUUAUAUAGAGAACAAAGAUAUAAGGGCAUGAUUAUCAAUGGGACUUAUUUGGUGGUCCUUAGAGUUUUAUAUUGUUUUUUCACCAUGUCUGACGAAGGACGAGCCCAGGACGAGCCCACAAACUUCUUAUUCUGGGACUUUUAGACACAAUCCUUAACAAAUUAAUCCAUUUUUUAUUUUUCUUUUGGGCC
rnacentral:lncRNA from 1 species